rnacentral:lncRNA from 1 species
CAAAUAAGUGGCCAGAAGCAUUAUCAGAUGGUGACGCUCCUACCGGCCCUUCAGUUCCUCCAGUCUCUGA